UAGGGAAUAUUGCACAAUGGGGGAAACCCUGAUGCAGCGACGCCACGUGAGUGAUGAAGGCCUUCGGGUCGUAAAGCUCUGUCGUAUGGGACUAACAAAAUGAAGGUACCAUGCAAGAAAGGAUCGGCUAACUUCGUGCCAGCAGCCGCGGUAAGACGAGGGAUCCUAGCGUUGUUCGGAAUUAUUGGGCGUAAAGCGGGUGUAGGCGGACUUAUAAGUCAGGUGUGAAAUCCCAGGGCUCAACCCUGGAAGUGCACUUGAUACUGCAAGUCUUGAGUGUGGUAGAGGCUAUUAGAAUUCCUGGUGUAGUGGUGAAAUACGUAGAUAUCAGGAGGAAUACCGGAGGCGAAGGCGGAUAGCUGGGCCAACACUGACGCUGAGACCCGAAAGCGUGGGGAUCAAACAGGAUUAGAUACCCCAGUAGUCCCUGAGCGGGCUGGCAAGGCGCAU
rnacentral:rRNA from 1 species